rnacentral:rRNA from 1 species
AACGAACGCUGGCGGCAGGCUUAACACAUGCAAGUCGAGCGCCCCGCAAGGGGAGCGGCAGACGGGUGAGUAACGCGUGGGAAUCUACCCAUCUCUACGGAAUAACGCAUGGAAACGUGUGCUAAUACCGUAUACGUCCUUCGGGAGAAAGAUUUAUCGGAGAUGGAUGAGCCCGCGUUGGAUUAGCUAGUUGGUGGGGUAAAGGCCUACCAAGGCGACGAUCCAUAGCUGGUCUGAGAGGAUGAUCAGCCACACUGGGACGGAGACACGGCCCAGACUCCUACGGGAGGCAGCAGUGGGGAAUAUUGGACAAUGGGCGCAAGCCUGAUCCAGCCAUGCCGCGUGAGUGAUGAAGGCCCUAGGGUUGUAAAGCUCUUUCACCGGUGAAGAUAAUGACGGUAACCGUAGAAGAAGCCCCGGCUAACUUCGUGCCAGCAGCCGCAGUAACAC